CUCGCAUGAUAUGUUUAUGUAAAUACCUAACUUGCUUAGCCAAGCCAUCCAACAACUCAAAUCUAUAGGGUCUGCGAUAUGCUAUCCACUGAGAAAUUUUUAAAAUCAGAGGUAUUUACAACACAAUGUUUAAUUUAAAUUAUUUGACGUUUUUAGGAAGACAUUAAAAUUAAACUAUUUGAAGACAAAAGACAUGGCAUAAGAUUCACAAAGCAAGAUUUAGUUACUAGAAUAUCAAACCUCUCUUCUAAAUGCCAUUUUUAUUCCAAUGUUUGCUUAUAUUUAAAGGAAAAGCAUCUUGACUAAGGGGAGGGGGGUGUUUCAAAACGGUUGAAUUAGGGGCCACCAUGGGGUCUGGGGAAGGGGCCUUCCACCCAGUUAUAUACAGUGUGUAUCAAAAUAAUUCGAAUCCAAAUUUGACAGACUGCUGUUUAUAAAAUACUAAAGUAAACCAUAUAAUUUUUAUAUGGCAAUAAAGAAUAGCCUACUAGGUUUCCGAUUAUAUCGUUCUUAUAUCAAUAAGAUAAAAAAUGACCAAGAAAUCGUGUGUUAAAACUGGUUGCUAGAAAUCAAAUUUUUCCGCCGAUGGGAAUUCGAAGUGAGACGUACAAACAAAAGAUAAUGCAAAUUUAAUUAAUCAACAAACUGUUAUGUAGCAAAAUUUACAUAAAUUCAUGUUCAUUUAAAGAGAUUUAAGCUCCUAUGCUUUCAACAUGUUGAACGAGAACAAAUUCGCGUUAAAUUUACAUUUUAGUUUUCAGUGAUGAUUAGCAUUUCAAAGCCUUGUGGGACUAACUUUGAAAGAAAAAAUGUCCAAUUCCCAUCGGCGAAAAAUUGUGAUUUUUAUGGACUUUUUUUGUCAAAGCAAUACUCCUUCAUUUUCCAACUAAAUGACGCGUACAGCAUGUCAUUUGAAAGAUAAAUAAAUGAACUUAACAAUGGUGUAAAAACCAACCGAAUUUGUCAAAUAUAUUCUGCGUUAUUACACGCCAAAUUUGGAUUCGAAUUAUUUUGAUACACACUGUAGAUGAACAGUCAAGUUGUUGAAUGAAACACAAAACGUUUGGGCUUCGGACUGAUCUGACCGGAAAAUUUAGAUAAAAUUAGAAUGCAUUUUCGCUAAAUAUUUGAGAAACAUAGACCAGAUCAUUCCAUUGAUACAGAGACAAAAAUUUGGGGCUGAUUUGGCCAUUAAAUGGAAAGCGCCCGAAGUACCAUCCUGUGAUCAGAGUGUUCCAUUGUCUUUUAUCGUAUCAUUGCUCUCAGCUCGAUGACAUGCAAUCACUCAUUUUUUGAAGCUAUACAAGAUGCGUUCAUUUGUAGUCACAUAUGUUUUUCAAAUAGGUACUGUACAGUUUCUUAAUUUGUAUUCCAGUAACCUGUCCUCGCGCGCCGCAAACACACUGACCAGCGACGCACCAAAAUAUGAUACCGUGCAAAUGAUGAUGAGAGCAUUCGCAAUCAUGUGACGUCGCCAAUAUUUUAACCACACCCUACGCAUAGGAAUAUCAUAGAAAUGAACUUGAAUAAACACUGAAAAAAUGUUGAAGACGAAAUCUAUAACUGUACUUAUGCAAAUUCUGACCAAAGAACCUUUGAUAAUUUCCCAUGGAUGAACGACAUUAAAAUUAGCGAUGAUGUAAAGAACCAAAUAUGCUUGACUGAAGAUAACCGUAGUGUAUUCGAACAAAAUAUUUUGGAUUUCAAUGUCAGCGUUAAAACGACGAAUACGUGGAGUAUCAGAGGGUAACACCGCUAGGGUUGCCCCACAACGAGUCUUGUUGGCACAACCAAUGAAACUUUUCCACAUUUUGAUACGAAGGUUUAGUGUUGUUUUACUCAAAACAUUUGAAACGCCAUGUAGCAAAGACAAGCCAAUAAAUAGCCAAAUAUUUUGAAAAUCCGACUGCAUUGUACGGUAAAGUCCAAUUGCUCCACCGCGUAAGAAAUAGCACAUCACAAAAGCUUUAUCUGCCGGAAUCAACUCUGAGCUUCUUCGCAGUACAAGGUAUUUUGCAACAGCAGUAGGUAGCAAUACUAUUCCUGGUGUAAGGGCGG
rnacentral:lncRNA from 1 species